rnacentral:rRNA from 1 species
AGUGAACGCUGGCGGUAGGCCUAACACAUGCAAGUCGAACGGCAGCACAGUAAGAGCUUGCCCUUACGGGUGGCGAGUGGCGGACGGGUGAGGAAUACAUCGGAAUCUACUUUUUCGUGGGGGAUAACGUAGGGAAACUUACGCUAAUACCGCAUACGACCUACGGGUGAAAGCAGGGGAUCUUCGGACCUUGCGCGAUUGAAUGAGCCGAUGUCGGAUUAGCUAGUUGGCAGGGUAAAGGCCCACCAAGGCGACGAUCCGUAGCUGGUCUGAGAGGAUGAUCAGCCACACUGGAACUGAGACACGGUCCAGACUCCUACGGGAGGCAGCAGUGGGGAAUAUUGGACAAUGGGCGCAAGCCUGAUCCAGCCAUACCGCGUGGGUGAAGAAGGCCUUCGGGUUGUAAAGCCCUUUUGUUGGGAAAGAAAAGCAGCAGGUUAAUACCCCGCUGUUCUGACGGUACCCAAAGAAUAAGCACCGGCUAACUUCGUG